CCCGCUGAACUUAAGCAUAUCAGUAAGCGGAGGAAAAGAAACUAACUAGGAUUUCCUUAGUAACUGCGAGUGAAACGGAAAGAGCUCAGCGUCGAAACCGUGUUGGCCAUGUCGACACUGUAUUGUGACGUAUAGAGGCGGUCAUGUGCGUUUGGCUUGUUGUACGAAAUCCCUUUGACUAGGGUUCCAAAGCGGGUGCGAGACCCGUACGUGCAGCCGGCCGUUCGUACGCGGCAGUCUCUUGGAGUAGGGUUGUUUGAGAUCGCAGCCCAAAGCAGAUGGUAUACUUCAUCUAAAGCUAAAUACGACUACGAAUCCGAUAGCAAACAAGUACCGUGAGGGAAAGUUGCAAAGUACUUUGAAGAGAGAGUUCAAGAGGACGUGAAACCGAUAGGAUGGAAGCAGAUGAAGUUGACGAACGAGUGUCGUAUUCAGGGCCGCGUCUUGUGCGCGGUCUGUUCUUGCGACCGACGUGGGCCGGCGGUCUUGGUCAAUGCACUGUGUCUAGCGUCGAUGGAGACCCUGCGGAGGGAUCAUCAGUCGGCGUACGAUGCGUGGUAUGGCUAAGGUUCUGUCGCCGGUCUUGAAGUCAGCGCCUCAUCUGACCCGUCUUGAAACACGG
rnacentral:rRNA from 1 species